rnacentral:misc_RNA from 1 species
GAUGAAGAACGUAGCGAAAUGCGAUAAGUAAUGUGAAUUGCAGAAUUCAGUGAAUCAUCGAAUCUUUGAACGCACAUUGCGCCCCCCGGCAUUCCGGGGAGCAUGCCUGUUUGAGCGUCUCUUGGAAUACCCCUCACGCCGGCGGAGGCGUGGUCAUGGCGGCGGUGGCGUGCCCCGAGAGGGAGGCCACCGCGCUGGAAUCCAUGGGCGGACGCCUGCCGCGUGGCCGAGCGUGAUAAGACGCACUGGCGCUCGCGCGCGGCGAGGCUGCCGGCCCUGGCCCGCUCGUCGGGCGGGGACAGCAACACUUGGGAACUCCUCGAAUCAGGUAGGGAUACCCGCUGAACUUAAGCAUAUCAAUAAGCGGAGGA